AAAAAUUUAGUUUAAAAUUAAAACAUUAGUUUGUCAGGCUAAAUAUACUUUAUUUGUAAUUUUUU
rnacentral:tRNA from 1 species